AUACUUACCUGGCAGGGAAGAUACCAUGAUCAAGAAGGUGCUUUUCCCAGGAUGAGGCUUAUAUAUUGCCCUCCAGAUGUGCUAACCCCUGUGAAUUCCCGAAAUUGGAAAACUUGACUUAGCUGUAUAAUUAGUGAUAGUGGGAACUGUGUUUGCACUCUCCCCU
rnacentral:snRNA from 1 species